rnacentral:lncRNA from 1 species
GGCCUGUGACGUAGAUGCAAGAGGUGGAAGCAACUCUGCCAGUGACAGCGUGGUAUCCAUGCUCAUAAACUGCACCAAUGCCUCUUGAAUAGCUGGAGUAAUGGUGGCUGUGGGCGUCUCUGGUGCCUGAUUCUUGACUGGGUCUGCUAGUGGCACCUCGGCGGCUGCUCGCGCAGGUGAUCUGGCUGCACCCUGCACACGUCCACGGCCCCUGCCCCUGACCCUACGCCUAGCUACUACAGGAGGGGGUACGGGUGCCUGAUCGACCCGGGUCAUGCGUGUUCUCACUAUAUGGGAGAGAAUAGAAGACAAAAGUUUAGAAUCGAGGUAAAAGACAUAGCACGACAAGAAUUCAAUGAAGUGAAGAUUUUUCUAAACAGUUACAUAGCCUCCCGUAGAUAAGUACAUACGUCUCCCUACCGAUCAGCAAGACUCUAAAUAACUGGCCUGUGUCUCGUAACUCUUAUGACCUAGAGCUAUGAUACCAACUUUUCACGACCCUAGUUAACCAAUCG